rnacentral:rRNA from 1 species
CCUACGGGAGGCAGCAGUGGGGAAUAUUGCACAAUGGGGGAAACCCUGAUGCAGCGAUGCCGCGUGGAGGAAGAAGGUUUUCGGAUUGUAAACUCCUUUUAUUAGGGACGAUAAUGACGGUACCUGAAGACAAAGCACCGGCUAACUCCGUGCCAGCAGCCGCGGUAAUACGUAGGGAGCGAGCGUUGUCCGGAAUUACUGGGUGUAAAGGGAGCGUAGGCGGGAUGGCAAGUCAGGUGUGAAAACCUAGGGCUCAACCUUCGGACUGCAUUUGAAACUGCUGUUCUUGAGUGAGGUAGAGGUAGGCGGAAUUCCUGGUGUAGCGGUGAAAGGCGUAGAUAUUAGGAGGAACAUCGAUGGCGAAGGCGGCUUACUGGACUUUUACUGACGCUGAGGCUCGAAAGCGUGGGGAGCAAACAGGAUUAGAUACCCGAGUAGUC